rnacentral:lncRNA from 1 species
AUCUUACUUAGGUUAUACUCUGUGGUAGGAUCAUAUUUAUACCUAUGUGAAAUAUGACUUUUCCCUCAAACUUUGCCUAAAUGAUGUUUCAGGAGGAUCUUCUGUGUUUUCUGGGCCCAGUCCAGUGACUCCAUACAUAUGCACAACUUAUGUUCAGUGACUGGAUUAUAGGCCAACUCCCACAGAGUUUGGUCUAUAGAGAUAGAUGUGAGGGGGGAUAAUUUGAAACCUUGAAUCUUUGGCUUAAUUUAGCAGAGUGCAAAACAUGAGAAGAGGAAAACACUGAACUCAGAUUUGUAAUAUUUUUUACUAAGCAGAGAGGAGAGGAAUGAUCUUUGAAGAAGACUGUGUUCUAAGGUGAGGAUCUAAUGUUGAGAAAUCAGACCUCAGGAAGUUAGUGAGGGGAAGGUUUAGAGCCCUAGACUUCUCCAAAUAUGUAUGGAACUGCUUAUUUUUUAUUUGCUAUCUUGUCAAAUCACAUUAUAGUGCUAAUUCUCUCUACCUGAAAACCUCAAAUGUUUUGACGAUUGUAACAUUUAGAUUCCCAUCAAUUUUUCAUAGAAGGGCAGAAUUGUUUCAUUUUAGUCUAGAAUUAAUGCCAUUGGUUAUGCUUAUAUGUUAUAAGCUUAUGCUUAUAUGUUUCAUAGAACCUUCUUACUAUUUUUAGUUUUGGUCUUAGUACUGGGAAUAUAUGGUCCAGCAUAUAUUAGUACUGGGAGCGAAUAUAUGGUCCAAUAUCUCCAGAUCUCAGGAAAUUAGUUUCAGUCAGGACUAUCAACCAGACACCUGGCCCUGUGUGAAAGAUCUGGGGACAGGCAAAAUUUGACUACUUAAAUAUAUGAGUAUUAGAUCAUUUUAGCUGCUAGAAAGUUCUGAAUGAAAUGACUUUGGUCUUUGUAAAGCACCUCUUUAUGUGAAAUUCAUGGACCAUGCAGGUUACACAAAGUGAGGAAAGAGAACUGCAAGAUUGUUUAAAUCAUUGCUCCAUCUUAACUACAAAGUUCAGAAUGCAUGGAGUGAAAUUUGACCAGCUCAAGAAAAGAAGGCAUGGAAAUAAUUUGUUCUGUGACUUUAAAGUCAUUGCAGUAUUUUAUGUAAAUAAUAAGUGAAAACCAGACUUCUCUACUUAAUUACUGAUUCCAAAGAUUAAAUUGUUAAAGGUAACAGCUUACCAUUACUUAUUUAUUUGCUUUUCUAGAAAAAUUAAGUAUAAUCUGAUAGUUUAAAGUUUGUUUUGUAUAGUAUAAGGAGACAAAGAUUCUCAUUUUAAUAAACACUUGCUAACUAUUGCA